rnacentral:lncRNA from 1 species
ACUACCAGGAAUCGGGUAUCCAGGUUGAAGGCGGAGACGACGCAGCCGCCGGCCGCCACCAUCAAGGCGAGCGCACAGAGCAUCAGGCGUGGGGCGCGGGGCGCGCGGCUGGGGCCGGGGCCCAUGGCUGCCAGCGGAAGCGGGGUCCCGGCGAGAGCGCGUGAGGGCGCGGAGCUGGGCGUGAGGACCUGUUCACCUGCUCCCCGCGCCGCCGGAGGACACUGGAACCCGCCGGCCGCUGCGCUCCGUAGCGCUGAUCGGUUUCGUGCCCCCAGCCCCAGCCAGUUUCACAGCUGCGCUCUCGGAUCCCUUCCUAAGAUCCGUGGGUCUAUCUUCCUGCCUCCCCAGCGGCCGGGUCGCCGCCGUCCCUGCCCCGGGCAACCGGCCCCCAGCUUGUCCCGGCCGCGCCCCCUUGGCCGCGCUGUCGCCUUCGAUCCCGGCUUCGCGGCGGAUCUGGCAAGCGCACCGGUCGACCGCAAGGAGGACAGGAGGGAGGGGUCCCCCGGCGCGCGCCCCGCCUCCCCACGCCCAGUCCCGCACCUCCCCACCUUGCGAGCCCAGCCCGGGCUGCGCUUUCCUUCCGGGGAAAGAGAAAAAGAUCCCGGCUCGGCCGCCUCCUCUUAAAGGGGCAGCACCGCCCCUCCCUCCUCAUCCUCCCUACCCCAGCUCCGCCUUCUCCCCCAAACACCUGUCGGCAACCCCCAAAGGCUUAGAUUUCCCCUCCCCGCCCCUCGCUUCUCCGAGAAAGCGUCGCCUGGGGAGCAAGAUGGAUGUGACGGGCGGGGCCGGGGGUGGGAUUUGUCUGGCCGCUUUCCUGCGGCUGCUGCUGCUGCUGCUGAAAAGGCCAGCCGGGCUGGAGAGACCUGGCAUUGGCGCAUCUGGGAACCGACGUCCGUGCGCGGCUGGCUAGAAUGCUGGACUCGCCUCCGCAGCGCUGUGAGUCCCCAAGAGGUGGCUGGCGGUCUCUGGGAGUUCUUCCUCGCACUCAGGCCCCUCGCUGUCUUUGCCGAGAUUUAUUUCUCCUAUCCACUCACCCUGAUCCGAGCUGAGAUUGGCUCCUCAGCAAAGACAGACAUAUUUAGCAGUGGUAACAACCAAAUGUCGCUAAUUAUAAUUACCAAAAAGCAUUUUUCCCCCUAAGUGCUGCGACUUCUGGUAUCAAAGGCUAAGACUGUCAAUGUAGAAAUGAGUCCGUCCUUCACAGAACGCACUGCGUAGCCGGGAAGCUGAGCCUAGACCGUAUCCAUUUCUCGUCCACUCCUGCCUUCAGGGCCCAGCCCAGCAGAAUCCCAGAGGCUCCCUCUUCCCACCCAAGCUCGAACAGAGUGUUUGGAGACUGGGCUCGGACGUCAGCACCCAUCAGGUGUUUGGUGGGUAGGGCCAGG